UACGAAGGGGGCUAGCGUUGUUCGGAAUUACUGGGCGUAAAGCGUGCGCAGGCGGCCAUCCAAGUCAGUGGUGAAAGCCCGGAGCUCAACUCCGGAACUGCCAUUGAAACUGUUUGGCUCGAGUACGAGAGAGGUGAGUGGAAUUCCCAGUGUAGAGGUGAAAUUCGUAGAUAUUGGGAAGAACACCGGUGGCGAAGGCGGCGUCACUGG
rnacentral:rRNA from 1 species